rnacentral:rRNA from 2 species
GGGAACAGCUCAAAUUUGUAAUCUGGCGGCCCCCCCGGGCCGUCCGAGUUGUAAUCUGGAGAAGCGUUUUCAGUGCCGGCCCGCGUACAAGUCCCCUGGAACGGGGCGUCGCAGAGGGUGAGAAUCCCGUCUCUGACGCGGCCUGCCGGCGCGCUGCGAUGCGCUCUCGAAGAGUCGAGUUGUUUGGGAAUGCAGCUCAAAACGGGUGGUAAAUUCCAUCUAAAGCUAAAUACUGGCGAAAGACCGAUAGCGAACAAGUACCGUGAGGGAAAGAUGAAAAGCACUUUGGAAAGAGAGUCAAACAGUACGUGAAAUUGUUGAAAGGGAAACGCUCGGAGUCAGUCGCGUCUCCCGGGACUCAGUCGUGCUUCGGGCGCGGCGUACUUCCCGGGUCAGGACGGGCCAGCAUCGAUUUCGACCGUCGUAAAAAGGCGAGGGGAAUGUGGCACCUUCGGGUGUGUUAUAGCCUCGUGUCCGCAUGCGACGGUGGGGGAUCGAGGGAUGCAGCGCGCCCCCCCUUUCGAGAGGGGGCCGGGGUUCGCCCACGUAACGCGCUUAGGAUGCUGGCUUAAUGGCUUCGAGCGACCCGUCUUGAAA